rnacentral:rRNA from 1 species
GAUGAACGCUGGCGGCGUGCCUAAUACAUGCAAGUCGAGCGAACAGACGAGGAUCUUGCUCCUCUGACGUUAGCGGCGGACGGGUGAGUAACACGUGUAUAACCUACCUAUAAGACUGGUAUAAUUUCGGGAAACCGGAUCUAAUACCGUAUAAGAUAUUGAACCGCAUGGUUCAAUAGUGAAAGACGGUUUUGCUGUCACUUAUAGAUGGAUCCCCGCCGCAUUAGCUAGUUGGUAAGGUAACGGCUUACCAAGGCGACGAUGCGUAGCCGACCUGAGAGGGUGAUCGGCCACACUGGAACUGAGACACGGUCCAGACUACUACGGGAGGCCGCAGUAGGGAAUCUUCCGCAAUGGGCGAAAGCCUGACGGAGCAAGGGCGCGUGAGUGAUGAAGGUCUUGGGAUCGUAAAAAUCUGUUAUUAGGGAAGAACAAAUGUGUAAGUAACUAUGCACGUAUUGACGGUAACUAAUAAGAAAGCAACGGCUAACUACGUG